rnacentral:RNase_P_RNA from 1 species
AUAGUGUAUCGGUCUAUCGCGGGAUAAGGGAAGAAAAACACCUGUUUUAAUCCCCUAUCACGAGGAAAGUCCGGGCAGCAUAGAGCACCACAGCGGUUAAUGGCCGUCAGGCAGCAAUGUUUGGUCACUGGUACAGAGACGAGUCGCCUUUAGGCGGGUGAAACGACUACACUGUGGGCUGCAAUUCCAAGUAUACCAACGUUUGAGCGCUGCUCGCGUGAGUUGGAGGGUAGGAAGCAACAGAAGCACGUAGUAAUACGCGACUCAAGAUUAAUGAUAGACGCCACCAUUAGGAGUUUCAAAGGUGCUAAAAGUUCCAGAGUUCCAAUGUGGUACAGAACCCGGCUUAUAGAUACACUAUUCUU